GUGGGGAAUCUUCCGCAAUGGACGAAAGUCUGACGGAGCAACGCCGCGUGAGUGAAGAAGGUUUUCGGAUCGUAAAGCUCUUUCGUUAGGGACGAACGUGCUCUUUGUGAAUAAUGAGGAGUAAUGACGGUACCUAAAUAAGAAGCCACGGCUAACUACGUGCCAGCAGCCGCGGUAAUACGUAGGUGGCAAGCGUUGUCCGGAAUUAUUGGGCGUAAAGCGCGCGCAGGCGGGAUAUCAAGUCUGUCUUAAAAGUGCGGGGCUCAACCUCGUGAGGGGACAGAAACUGGUAUUCUUGAGUGUCGGAGAGGAAAGUGGAAUUCCAAGUGUAGCGGUGAAAUGCGUAGAGAUUUGGAAGAACACCAGUGGCGAAGGCGACUUUCUGGACGAUGUCUGACGCUGAGGCGCGAAAGCUAGGGGAGCGAACGGGAUUAGAUACCCUAGUAGUCC
rnacentral:rRNA from 1 species